UACGGAGGGUGCGAGCGUUGUCCGGAAUCAUUGGGCGUAAAGGGCGCGUAGGUGGCCCGGUCAGUUCGUGGUGAAAGCGCGGGGCUCAACCCUGCGUCGGCCAUGAAUACUGCCGCGGCUGGAGCACUGUAGAGGCAGGCGGAAUUCCGGGUGUAGCGGUGGAAUGCGUAGAGAUCCGGAAGAACACCGGUGGCGAAGGCGACAUCCUGGACCGGUAUUGACGCUGAGGCGCGAAAGCCAGGGGAGCAAAGCGGG
rnacentral:rRNA from 1 species